rnacentral:rRNA from 1 species
GACGGAGGGUGCAAGCGUUGUUCGGAAUCAUUGGGCGUAAAGGGUGCGUAGGCGGCUUUUUAAGUCUGACGUGAAAGCCCAGGGCUUAGCCUUGGAAGUGCGCCAGAAACUGGAAGGCUAGAGUGCCGGAGGGGAGAGUGGAAUUCCUGGUGUAGCGGUGAAAUGCGUAGAUAUCAGGAGGAAUACCGGUGGCGAAAGCGGCUCUCUGGACGGUAACUGACGCUGAGGCACGAAAGCGUGGGGAGCAAACAGG